CCUACGGGUGGCUGCAGUAGGGAAUAUUGCUCAAUGGGGGAAACCCUGAAGCAGCAACGCCGCGUGGAGGAUGAAGGUUUUCGGAUUUUAAACUUCUUUUGUUAGAGAAGAUAAUGACGGUAUCUAACGAAUAAGCACCGUCUAACUCCGUGCCAGCAGCCGCGGUAAUACGGAGGGUGCAAGCGUUACUCGGAAUCACUGGGCGUAAAGGGCGCGUAGGCGGGAUAGCAAGUCAGAUGUGAAAUCCUAUGGCUUAACCAUAGAACUGCAUUUGAAACUGUUAUUCUAGAGUUUGGGAGAGGUAGGUGGAAUUCUUGGUGUAGGGGUGAAAUCCGUAGAGAUCAAGAGGAAUACUCAUUGCGAAGGCGGCCUGCUAGGACAUAACUGACGCUGAUGCGCGAAAGCGUGGGGAGCGAACAGGAUUAGAUACCCGAGUAGUC
rnacentral:rRNA from 1 species